GAUGAACGCUAGCUACAGGCUUAACACAUGCAAGUCGAGGGGCAUCGAGGAGUUAGCUUGCUAAUUCUGUCGGCGACCGGCGCACGGGUGAGUAACGCGUAUCCAACCUUCCCCUUAGUAGGGCAUAGCCCGGCGAAAGUCGGAUUAAUACCCUAUGUUGUUCAUCGCAGGCAUCUAAAGUGAACCAAAGAUUUAUUGCUAAGGGAUGGGGAUGCGUCUGAUUAGGUUGUUGGCGGGGUAACGGCCCACCAAGCCAUCGAUCAGUAGGGGUUCUGAGAGGAAGGUCCCCCACAUUGGAACUGAGACACGGUCCAAACUCC
rnacentral:rRNA from 1 species